rnacentral:rRNA from 1 species
AACGAACGCUGGCGGCAGGCCUAACACAUGCAAGUCGAGCGAGGACUUCGGUUCUAGCGGCGGACGGGGGAGUAACGCGUGGGAAUGUUCCCUUCUCUACGGAAUAGCCCUGGGAAACUGGGAGUAAUACCGUAUACGCCCUAUUGGGGAAAGAUUUAUCGGAGAAGGAUCAGCCCGCGUGGGAUUAGGUAGUUGGUGGGGUAAUGGCCUACCAAGCCGACGAUCCAUAGCUGGUUUGAGAGGAUGGUCAGCCACACUGGGACUGAGACACGGCCCAGACUCCUACGGGAGGCAGCAGUGGGGAAUCUUAGACAAUGGGGGCAAUCCUGAUCUAGCCAUGCCGCGUGAGUGAUGAAGGCAUUAGGGUUGUAAAGCUCUUUCAGCUGGGAAGAUAAUGACGGUACCAACAGAAGAAGCCCCGGCUAACUCCGUG